UUGACACUGACAAAUGCUGCUUUCCAAAAGUAUUCUGAAACUGUUCCAUCUAAAUGAUUUAAUUUGUGGAUGAAUUGUCUUCCAAUGUGAAUUCCAGGUAUCAAGGAAUGUAUGCUAUAUUUUAAAAAAUAUUUUGAGUCACAUGUGAUAUUCAAAUACUAUAUGAAAUUUUAUUUAUGACAUUACUGUCAAAACAAAAUUGAAUUUGCUUAGAGAGUAAUUUUUUCAGAAAACAAUACUGUGAUAGUCAUGUAUACUACUGGUCGAUUAUAGCCAUGAAAGCCAACAGAUGGAUGAGGAGUAUGUCUGUAAAGAAGUUAGCAUUUUCCAGUUGGAAAAUGUAGCAUAACUAGAAAUUGUUCUACUUUCAUAGGUUGCAUAUCAAAUGCCCAGCAGUGUUUGAGAUGAAUUACUGAGGUUAUCUUAGUCUCCUUUUUUGUGUCGUUUAUGUUAAGCUAUUGAUAAAUAGCAUUUGUCUAGGGUUUUUGUUUUUUGCAGUUUCCAACUGUCAUAGAUUCAUAGAAUAGUUUGGGUUGGAAGGGACCUUUAAGGGUCAGCUAGUCCAACCCCCCUACAAUGAGCGGGGACAUCUUCAACUAGAUCAGGUUGCUCAGAGCCCUGUCCAACCUGAUCUUGUCCUUUCAGCUCACUAAUUUCCUGUUUUCCCUGCCCUGGAUACAAGCUGUUGAUUACCACAGACCUAGUAAUAUGUUUUAUUCUGGGUGGGAUGGAUCUGAAUUAGUAACAUUAGUAGAACCAAGCAGUCAAUAAUUAUGUUUCAGGCUUUUGUAUGAAGUUAAUGACAAGCUUUACCCUCACCUAGAAAUGCAGGUAGGUACUACUUGUAUAUUUGAAAAUAGGAUUUCAAUUUCAUAGAUUGCAUUACUUUAACAUGUAAAAGUUUCAUGAAUAAAAGUGUACUUACCCUAUUCUUGUUGAACUGGGGGGAAAAAAAGAAUGUGCCAUGCAUUGUUUGACACUGAACCAAAAGCUGAUGGCUUCACCUUAUCUUUAAUGUGUUUUGUAGUCUCCAGCAACACCUGCUGGACAAAAUAGUCAACUGUGCACUCAAUUUUUGUCUUUAAAGUGUUUGUGUGCUAGGAUGACACUUGACCCUGAUUGUUAGAAGUCAUUAUCUCACUCUGCAGUAGUGAUUGAACCAGCAGUAGCUUGGGUAAGUGUUGACUUAUAUAUUUUUUUUUUUUGUCUGCACCCACCCUCUCGGUUCUGUAGGCUUGGAAAAGGCAUCCUCAUGAUUUCACCAUAUAUGUGAUUUGGUAUAUAACAUGUAUGCACACUUAAUAAAUCUGCAUGUGUGCUACCUAUGAAUAUCACUGCUGUAGCUGUGCUUGAGGACUCCGGUCUAAAGCAAUGGCCAGCAAAAGAGUCAAAAGUGGGGCUGUUCCCUGCCCAAACCUUCCCUUCUUUUCAGUGAACCACGGAAACCAUCAGAGUGAGCUGUGAGGGAGCUCCCUCAGCGUGAGGCUGCUGAGCUGACAUGUAGGUUCUCGUCUCAAGAAACACUGCAGAGAGAAAGGAGGAAGCAGCAGCGACGGGGCAAGACAGCACACAGGAAAUUAAGGUCCCGCUACUGUUUAAACAGUUGGAAUUGGAUAGAGAUGCUAUCUUCCCAAAGUAUAAUGGGAUUGGGGUAGAGGAAAGGGAGGUGCCCUGAGGAGAGAAUAUUGCUGUGCCUAAUUAAACAGGAAGCAAUUUAUUACUGUUUAACAUGUUGCUCGGAGAUCUGAGGUUGUAUAGGCUUAAAAAUUGUCUGAGAUUCUGGAUAGUCUUGGAAAAUGGGAAGAACUGAUUUCAAAGGUCUUCCUUUUGCCAGUCAUUUGACUCCCUUUUAAUACACAGCGUCAAAUUUAGCAUGACAUCUGAAUAUCAUGCUGGUAUACACUGAUUUCUCUGUUUGACUGAAGAUGAAAGCAGAAUGACUGGCCUAAUUCUAAUUAAUGAUCUUCUGUGUAUCCCUAGGGUUACUGCCGGAUAGGUGGGCUAAUGGACGUAAAAACUGCUGCUGUUACUGAAUUACCAUCUAUGCACAGGAAAAGAUCCUGUGUGCAGCCCGGGGGAGAAGAUCUUGUUCAUCUAUUGAUUUACAGACAACAGAAUGCACCGCUAAUUAAAGUAUUUUAGGCAAGGUUUUCUGCAGGAUAGGGAUGGAGGGGACAGGAGAAACAUCUCCUGUUCCUAACCUUUAGUAGUCUCACAUGCCACUGAUCUUGGACAUCUUCCUACCUCUGCAGCUAUUUGCCCUUGCCUCUCUUCUCUCUCAGCUACUUGGGUGUUAAGAUAUUUCGGGUAGAAUCUCCCCAUAUAUUUGCUCCAUGCCUUAGCAAAUGGGAUUUUAAUCUCAUUUUGGUUUUGUAGAUACUGAGACAAUAGUGAUAGUCAGUCUUGCACCAUGAACCUGCUUAAAUGGCUUUUUCCACUCACCAUCUCUCUCAAGUUUCUAUCCCAAAACUUGUUAUCAGGUGGUUACUGCAGUACACACCUGGGAUUUAAUUUCCUCUUCCUUUCUGCAAGUGAGGUAUCUCUGGUAUUCUGUUCUACUGCGAGUUCUGCAACGUGGUGAGAAAAACCCUAUCAGCUACAAGCACAGAGUAAGAUGUGUGUUGCCAGGGAGGAACUGAAAGUUUAGGUGUUUUGUGGAGAAUGAAAAUGACUGAUUUAGCUGCAGUUCAGGAAGAUUUUCUCCGGGCUAACAAUGAGCAGAAAACUGCUCUGCGUGAGGUGCUGCGUCUUGAUCAGAGGCCUGGUUGGUGCCGCACAGCUCGGGGUUCUCAGCGCCUGAAGGAAUGUAAGAUUAUCUAUCCUGUCCUCCCCCUUAUAGUGUUAGCUCUAAUAAAUGGCAUUUUAAGUGAUA